rnacentral:rRNA from 1 species
ACUCUACGGCAGCGGAUAUCUAAACUCUGCCGAUGAAGAACGUGGCGAAAUCGAUGUCACCGUGUAGUGCGAGAUCCCGUGAACCAUCCAGUCUUUGACGCCGGUGCGCAAACCUUCUGGCGGGGAACACGAUACUUUGGGUGUCAAAUGGUCGUCCUCCCAUCCCUCUGAGGAUAUCCGGACUGAGCUGGUCGAUGUUCGAUGUUACACCGCCGCGGUUGGCCAAAUCCGACUAAGGAUGCCAGGAAUCUUCUUGACAUGGGGUGGUGAAUUCAAUUCUCGUCAAAUGCGUCGUUCGUUUGGUCGAAAGCUCUUGAUAACCCAAAGUCCUCGCGCGACCCCAGGGGCCCGGGAUCACCGCUGAGUUUAAGCAUAUCAAUAGCGGAGGAAAGAAACUAACAAGGAUUCCCUUAAUGUAGCGGCGGGUGGAAGGCCAACGAAAAUCAGGCGUCUUGAAUUGUGAAUGCGGAAGCGUCCUCCGGCGGACCCAGACUGGGCCCCAGGUUCACGGCGCGCGGGGAGAGGGUGAAACCCCGUCGUUACUUGGACCUAAUAAGCACCGGCGGACCCUGUCGAAAUGCCGGUUGUUUGGGAUCAGCCCCGAUCGAGGUAAAUUCCGUCGGUUGUUUAAAUAUGAUGUGACAAGUACCUGAGGUAAAGAUGAAAAAGGACUUUGAAAAGAGAGUCAAAGUGCUUGAAAUUGCCGGGAGGAGGAGGAUGGGGGCGGCGAUCACGUCCGGUGGAUGCCGGAGCGGAACAAUCCGGUCCGCUGAUGAUUCGGCGUGGGCGGCCGCAGUUAAGGUGGUGACCUAAGCUGACUUUGUUACGCCCAGCGGAGGCGACCGCUGCCUUAAUCGUGUCUUGCGGCCGCAGCGCCUCACGGCGUGCCUCGACAUCUGCGUGCUUUCCGGGCGUCGGCGUAGGCUCCCAUUCGGCCGUCUUGAAACAGACCAGGAGUCUGACGUAUUAAUGAGUCAACGGGUGGAGUAAACCGUGAACAUAAAGCUGAUUGGCUGGAUCCUCAUGGUGUGACCGACCUGAUUUUUCGAAAGGGGUUGAGGUGUGAACAUGCAGCUGGGACCGAAGGUGGUGCUGCCAUGCCUGGCGGGCAGAAGCCAGGAGAAAACUACGGUGGAGCCAGCGUCUGACGUGCAAAUCGUUGAUGGAGAACUUGGGUUAUAGAGGCGAAAGACUAAUCCGAACCAUCGUGGUUCCCUCCGGUUUCCCUGGCGGGGAUAGGGGCUGGAAAGCAGAGUUCUCGGGUAAACGAAUGAUUAGAGCAUCGGGGGCAUAGCGUCCUCGACCCCAUUCUCAAACUUUAAAUGGGUAGGACGGGUGGCUGCUUUGUUGGUCAUCCCGCGAAUCGAGGAGCUCCAGUGGGCCAUUUUGAAGUAAAGAACUGGCGAUCGGGAUGAACCGAAGCGAGGGUUCUACGGUACCCCAAUGACUUCUUCGAACCCCAAAGGGUGUUGAAUUAUUAAGACAACGGGGCGGUGGUCAUGGAGGUAAAUCCGCUAAAGUGUAACAACUCCACCUGCGAAUCAACUAGCCAGAAAAUGGAUGAUGGCCUUGCGACUUAUACCGUGAUCGGGGCAAACCGGACCUCGAUAGUGGGAAGGCUGGUGAUCCUUUCUACAAAACCUAUUUGCCGAGCCAGCGAGAAACGAUCGUCGAUCUUUAACGGUGGUAGUAUAAAAUAUUCAAAUGAGAACUUUGAAGGCCGAGAGGGAAAGGUUCCAUGUGGUAGCACACAUGGGUUAGUCGAUCCCCAAAGUCGGAAACCCGUCUGAUAGCGCUUAUGCAGCGAGAACGAAAGGAUCGGUUAAAAUUCCGGAACGGGGCGUGGCGGUUGGCGGCAGCGUUAAGGAAUCCGGGAGCGUCGGCAAUUCCGGAAAAGUUAUCUUUUCUGUUUAACAGCCUGCCCACCUGGAAGCGGCUCGGUAGGAGGUAGGGUCAGCGACCUGGAAGAGCACCAUGCAUCGCGUGGUGUCCGGUGCAUUCCAGCCCGGCCGAAAAUCGGAGGACGAGUACGCUGCUUGAGAAUGCGUACUCAUAUCAGGUCUCAAGGUGGACAACCUGCGGUGAUGGAACAAUGUAGAAAGCCGAGGAAAUGGCAAAAUGGAUCGUUAACCCGGAAAAGUUAGCUCGGGGGGCUGGGCUCGGGGUCCCAGUUCGAACCCGUCGACUGUUGGCGGGCUGCUUGAGCAGCUAAGUGGCGUGGCCGCCUCGGUAGCCGACCCGAGGGACGGACUGAAGGAGCGGCUCUUCAGGCUUCCGGCGUCGAGCAACUCAACUCUCCCGGAGCUAGUGCGGACAAAGGGAAUCCGGUAUUUGAUUAAAACAAAACAUUCUGCGAAGGUCCUUGCGGAUGCUAGCAAUGUGUGAUUUCUGCCCGAGUGCUCUGGAUGUCAAAGUGAAGAAAUUCAACUAGCGGGUAAUUGUGGCCGGGAAUGUACUAUGACUCUCUCUUAAGGUAGCCAAAUGCCUCGUCAUCUAAUUGGUAUGAAUUGAAUGGAUCAUGAGAUUCCACUGUCACAUCUCACUAUCAAUGAAACCACAUCAAAGGCAAGACUUGGCAGAAUCAAUGGGAAAAGAGAGAGACCUGUGCGAGCUUGACUCUAGUCCGACUUUGUGAAAUGACUUGAGAGGUGUAGAGGAUGGUAAGAGCUCGGCGCCAAGUGAAAUACCCACUACUUUUAGAUUAUUUACUUACUCUAGUAGAUGCGAAUGAAGUAGCACAACCCUUCUUUUAGACAAAUUUAAACGGAGUGAUCCAUGAGGACAUUGUCAGGUGGGGAGGUUUGGCUGGAAGCAUAUCUGAUAAAAGAUAGCGCGGGUGUCACAGAUGAGCUCAGCGGAACAGAAUCAUUAGUAAGAACAAAGGGUAAAGCAAGUUUGGAUUCUGAUUUUCUGAAUCGCAACCUGAAAACAUGUGGCCUAUCCUUUAGAUCUUGAAUUUAGGCUAGAGGUGUUAAUGGAAAAGUUACCCGCAGGGAUAACUGGCUUAUUGGCAAUAAGGCGUUAAAUACACGUUAACUUUGAUCAUUGAUGUAUGCGGCUCUUCCUAUCAUUGUGAAGCGAAUUCACAAGUGUUGAUUAUUCACCACCAAUAGAGGCGUGAGGCUUAAGUUUUAGCUUACCGUGCGUGAGACGGGUUAGUUUUACCCUACUGAUGCCAGCGUGUAAAUAGUAAUUCAACCCUAGUACGGAAGGACCGUUGAGUUGCUGAUUAAUUAAAUGGCGCUUGGUUGAAAAAACCGAUGUGUAUGAAAGCCUUCCGUCGCUGGAUUAUGGUGAGCAUCUAAAAUUACGAUCGGGCUGAAGGCGGCUGUCACCCAGCCGAUUACCCGACCACCGUUGGGGCUUCGGCUCCCAAAGGCGCGAUGUCGUUGGCUAAAGUCGUUCACCGGCGGAGCGCCGUUGGACCAUGCGAUUAUAAUUACCACCGGUGGAGUAGAAUCCUUUGACGAUUAAAUACGGGCAAGUUGUAUUGUAAAUGGCGGUGGCUUUGCUACCCGCGAUCGAGAUUCAGCCUUUGUGGAAUUCGACCCUCCCCUUUC